rnacentral:rRNA from 1 species
AUUGAACGCUGGCGGCAUGCUUUACACAUGCAAGUCGAACGGUAACAGGCCGCAAGGUGCUGACGAGUGGCGAACGGGUGAGUAAUGCAUCGGAACGUGCCCAGUCGUGGGGGAUAACGCAGCGAAAGCUGCGCUAAUACCGCAUACGAUCUAUGGAUGAAAGCGGGGGACCGUAAGGCCUCGCGCGAUUGGAGCGGCCGAUGUCAGAUUAGGUAGUUGGUGGGGUAAAGGCUCACCAGGCCAACGAUCUGUAGCUGGUCUGAGAGGACGACCAGCCACACUGGGACUGAGACACGGCCCAGACUCCUACGGGAGGCAGCAGUGGGGAAUUUUGGACAAUGGGCGCAAGCCUGAUCCAGCAAUGCCGCGUGUAGGAAGAAGGCCUUCGGGUUGUAAACUGCUUUUGUACGGAACGAAACGGCUCUGGUUAAUACCUGGGGCUAAUGACGGUACCGUAAGAAUAAGCACCGGCUAACUACGUGCCAGCCGCCGCCGUAAUAC